UUGUAUUUUCUGAAGACUAUUUCAGUGCAUCUAUUAUAAAUAUUUAUGUGAUAAGAAAAAUGUUGGAACUCCUUCAAGGAAAUCAGAUGAGAAUGCAUCCACACACUUCAAAAAUAAAUGCAUAAGAUGCUGUCUCAACAAAACCCAUUUGAAUAUCUGGGGAGAGUGGACUGUGACCCUGUGAGAUAUCUUUCUGAAAUUAUGACACUUGCAGAAAUGUACCUAUUCCACAGAAUCUUUUUCAUUCCCAUUGUCUCGGUUUGCCAAAACGUGUAAACAGAAUGCCCUACGUAAGAUGACA